AACGAACGCUAGCGGCGUGCCUAACACAUGCAAGUCGCACGAGAAAUCCCGGGCAACUGGGAGAGUAAAGUGGCGAACGGGUGAGUAGCACGUGGGUAAUCUACCCUGAAGUUGGGAAUAACACCUCGAGAGGGGUGCUAAUACCUAAUAACGUCCUCGGGACCCCGGUCCUGAGGAUCAAAGAUGGCUGAGGCUUGCAAGCUAUUGCUUUAGGAUGAGCCCGCGCACCAUUAGCUAGUUGGUGGGGUAAUGGCCCACCAAGGCCGUGAUGGUGAGCUGGUCUGCGAGGAUGGCAGCCACAAUGGAACUGAGAUACGGUCCAGACUCCUACGGGAGGCAGCAGUGAGGAAGCUUGCGCAAUGGGGGCAACCCUGACGCAGCAACGCCGCGUGAGUGAUGAAGGCCUUCGGGUCGUAAAGCUCUGUCAGAUGGGAAGAAAGUUCCGGGCGUGAACAAUUCCCGGGAUUGACGGUACCGUCAAAGGAAGCACCGGCUAACUCCGUGCCAGCCGCCGCCGUAACAC
rnacentral:rRNA from 1 species